rnacentral:ncRNA from 1 species
UACCUGGUUGAUCCUGCCAGUAGUCAUAUGCUUGUCUCAAAGAUUAAGCCAUGCAAGUCUAAGUACGAGCUCUCGUACAGUGAAACUGCGAAUGGCUCAUUAAAUCAGUUAUGGUUCAUUUGAUCGUACAGUUUACUUGGAUAACUGUGGUAAUUCUAGAGCUAAUACAUGCGAGAAGCGCCGACCUCGCGGGAGGCGUGCAUUUAUCAGACCAAAAACCGGCCGCGUCUUCGGGCGCGUUUGCCUUGGUGACUCUGGAUAACUUUGCGGAUCGCACGGUCUAGCACCGGCGACGGAUCAUUCAAGUGUCUGCCCUAUCAACUUUCGUCGGUACGGUAUUUGCCUACCGAGGUUCUUACGGGUGACGGGGAAUCAGGGUUCGAUUCCGGAGAGGGAGCCUGAGAAACGGCUACCACAUCCAAGGAAGGCAGCAGGCGCGCAAAUUACCCAUUCCCGACGCGGGGAGGUAGUGACGAAAAAUAACAAUGCAGGACUCGUUCGAGGCCCUGUAAUUGGAAU